ensembl:lncRNA
CAGAACGCGCCCAAACUACGAAUCUUCGUGCAUAAACUAUGUACUAGGCCGUGCCAGGAGCUGCAAACGCUACUGUGGCAGAUAAAUGGGACCACCAGACCUGAACGUGGUUCAGACGGCCCCUAAAGGGAGCCCCAUGUCCCUUUGGAAUCUUGUCUUAUCUUGUCCUGACCAGUAGGGGCCAUGUGUAGAUUCAGGGAGUAAUCAGCGAGAGAGUUGUUGUGGGCGUUUCCGUAGUGUAGUGGUUAUCACGUUCGCCUCACACGCGAAAGGUCCCCGGUUCGAAACCGGGCGGAAACAAAGAAAAAUGUUCUUAUUUUCCCCAGCUACAACCACUUUCUUCUAGUUAAUUUGUCAAGUUCUGUCAUCUGUCCCUGGAAUGUAUGUGCGUAAAAGUAUGCUUAGCUUUUACAGUAUUAUCCUACCGCUCUCUUUUCCAAUCUAUUACCAGUUCACUUCAAGCGAGUAUAUUACGGAUCUCUAGGUCUGUAGCGCAAAAGAAGGUGGUCUGUCAUGAGAGCCAUCCUUCACAGAACUUAAAAUCCUAGAAGAUCAGAAGGCAGGAAUGCCACUCAGAGACAAAUGAAAUAGUAAAGAGUACAAGUGCGUUGGCAUCAUAUAGUGGAAGUCAGGCUGGGAAAGAGAGUUCCCAAGAAAGAGCAGUAAUAACCUCACCAUCUAUCACAAUCACGCUGACUGUCUGGUCCUGUUGUUGGUGUCUCCCUCUCCUGCAGGUGAGGCCACUGAGCCACAGACACGUCACACGAGGUGACUAAAUGUGGGGUAGAGGAAGUAGCAGACGGAGCUAAAGGACGGAGAAUGCGGAAUGAAACAGGGCACCGUGAGAAAUUCAAGUUAGCCUAGCCGAGAAAGUACCUGGUUCUGCCAGAGACCUGCUGGUGACUGGUUCCCGCUCAGCGCUGACGGAUAUUAGCGCGACAACCUUCACCUUACGGGACACCACCGUGAGCGAGUCUGAGUUUUUCUAUCCUGACUGGUUUCACUCCCGGCCUGCACCUACGCAUCCGUCUUCAGCGGCAGAAUAGAACAGUAAAAAGAACAUCAGCCUCUCCACAGGUGUCUCGGUCAGCCGCCUUCUUCAUCCGUCCUCACUUGCUGCGCAUCUGCUGCGUGCCUAUGCGACUCCAAGGGUGCGUUACGAAACGGGCUCCAGAGGUCAAGGGCAAAACGUCAGCGAAGGCUUCAGAGAAGCAGACCAGCGGUACUUGGGAGUCCCCAG